rnacentral:tRNA from 1 species
GCCCCGGUAGACCAACGGCAGAGUCGAUGCUCUCAAAAGGCAUUCAGUGUGAGUUCGAAUCUCACCCGGGGCA